GAUGAACGCUGGCGGCGUGCCUAAUACAUCAAGUCGAGCGAACGGACGAGAAGCUUGCUUCUCUGAUGUUAGCGGCGGACGGGUGAGUAACACGUGGAUAACCUACCUAUAAGACUGGGAUAACUUCGGGAAACCGUAGCUAAUACCGGAUAAUAUUUUGAACCGCAUGGUUCAAAAGUGAAAGACGGUCUUGCUGUCACUUAUAGAUGGAUCCGCGCUGCAUUAGCUAGUUGGUAAGGUAACGGCUUACCAAGGCAACGAUGCAUAGCCGACCUGAGAGGGUGAUCGGCCACACUGGAACUGAGACACGGUCCAGACUCCUACGGGAGGCAGCAGUAGGGAAUCUUCCGCAAUGGGCGAAAGCCUGACGGAGCAACGCCGCGUGAGUGAUGAAGGUCUUCGGAUCGUAAAACUCUGUUAUUAGGGAAGAACAUAUGUGUAAGUAACUGUGCACAUCUUGACGGUACCUAAUCAGAAAGCCACGGCUAACUACGUG
rnacentral:rRNA from 1 species